rnacentral:tRNA from 2 species
CGGGACGUGGCGCAGCUUGGGAGCGCGCUUGAAUGGGGUUCAAGAGGUCGCAGGUUCAAAUCCUGUCGUCCCGACCA